rnacentral:rRNA from 1 species
GACGAACGCUGGCGGCGUGCUUAACACAUGCAAGUCGAACGGAAAGGCCCUGCUUUUGUGGGGUGCUCGAGUGGCGAACGGGUGAGUAACACGUGAGUAACCUGCCCUUGACUUUGGGAUAACUUCAGGAAACUGGGGCUAAUACCGGAUAGGAGCUCCUGCUGCAUGGUGGGGGUUGGAAAGUUUCGGCGGUUGGGGCUGGACUCGCGGCUUAUCAGCUUGUUGGUGGGGUAGUGGCUUACCAAGGCUUUGACGGGUAGCCGGCCUGAGAGGGUGACCGGGCACAUUGGGCCUGAGAUACGGCCCAGAAUCCUACGGGAGGCAGCAGUGGGAAACAUUGCACAAUGGGCGGAAGCCUGAUGCAGCAACGCCGCGUGCGGGAUGACGGCCUUCGGGUUGUAAACCGCUUUCGCCUGUGACGAAGCGUGAGUGACGGUAAUGGGUAAAGAAGCACCGGCUAACUACGUG